UACGGGGGGAGCAAGCGUUGUUCGGAUUUACUGGGCGUAAAGAGCUCGUAGGCGGUCUGUCGCGUCUGCUGUGAAAACCCGAGGCUCAACCUCGGGCCUGCAGUGGGUACGGGCAGACUAGAGUGCGGUAGGGGAGAAUGGAAUUCCUGGUGUAGCGGUGGAAUGCGCAGAUAUCAGGAGGAACACCGAUGGCGAAGGCAGUUCUCUGGGCCGUAACUGACGCUGAGGAGCGAAAGCGUGGGGAGCGAACAGG
rnacentral:rRNA from 1 species